GAACGCGAAGAACCUUACCUGGGCUUGACAUGUUCCUGAUCUCCCUGGAAACAGGGCUUCCCUUCGGGGUAGGAUCACAGGUGGUGCAUGGCUGUCGUCAGCUCGUGUCGUGAGAUGUUGGGUUAGGUCCCGCAACGAGCGCAACCCUUGUCCUAUGUUGCCAGCACGUAAUGGUGGGGACUCGUAGGAGACUGCCGGGGUCAACUCGGAGGAAGGUGGGGACGACGUCAAGUCAUCAUGCCCCUUAUGUCCAGGGCUGCAAACAUGCUACAAUGGCCAGUACAAAGGGCUGCGAAACCGCGAGGUCGAGCGAAUCCCACAAAGCUGGUCUCAGUUCGGAUCGGAGUCUGCAACUCGACUCCGUGAAGCUGGAGUUGCUAGUAAUCCCGGAUCAGCAACGCCGGGGUGAAUACGUUCCCGGGUCUUGUACACACGC
rnacentral:rRNA from 1 species